rnacentral:rRNA from 1 species
GUUAACGCUGGCAGCGUGCAUAACACAUGCAAGUCGAGCGGAACUACCCGCAAGGGUAGUUUAGCGGCAGACGAGUGAGUAACACGUAAGAAAUCUACCCCAAGAAAGGGAACAACUUGCCGAAAGGUGAGCUAAUACCCUAUAUAAUCCCGGAGUGGCAUCACACUGGGAUGAAAGGCGUAAGCCGUCAUGGGAGGAUCUUGCGACCUAUCAGCUAGUUGGUGAGGUAACGGCCCACCAAGGCAAUGACGGGUAGCCGGCCUGAAAGGGCGAUCGGCCACGGAGGCACUGAGACACGGGCCUCACUUCUACGGAAGGCAGCAGUGGGGAAUUUUGGACAAUGGGGGAAACCCUGAUCCAGCAACGCUGCGUGAAGGACGAAGGUCUUCGGAUUGUAAACUUCUUUUGUUGGGGACGAACACCCGCAAGGGUUUGACGGUACCCGAUGAAUAAGCCACGGCUAACUACGU